GGUUGCAAAGUGGUUAAAGCUUUUAGCUGCUAACCAAAAUGCUGGUGGUUUGAACCCACCAGCCA
rnacentral:tRNA from 1 species